CACGCCCACUCUUACCAAUUACCAUUGUGUUAUUGAGAAGAAAGAGGAAGUGAAGACAGAAGCCGCUCAGGCCCAGCGAGUCCGUUUGUCUGUUCCUCUCCACAGAGACAGAAGAAAAUGAUGGGGGACCGCACAGGUGACAGGUAACCUUGUCUCCCGCUCUCUCUCUCUCUCUCUCUCUCUCCUUCUGGUAAACACUCCGUUGGGCGCCACAACCAGCGCCAUUUGGUGCUCGUAUGGGCCCAAUUAUGUAAGGUAAGGUGAUACACAACAGAGCACAGCACAGUGGACCCUACAGCAAGUGGAUAUCUGUUCCAUGUCCCAGAGUGCCCUUUGUCUUCCUCCAGUCCACACCUAUCUGAGCCGUCGUCCAACCCCACACAGGCCUGGCUCUGUAGCCCAACCAGGAGAGUCAGAUUCAUACUGUGCAUAUUUAGGUGCGUGUUUCCUGACCAGUGACUGCCCCUGAGCGCUACUGAUGUGGACCUCUGCGACCGAGGCGUCUCCGCUUCACAGAGAAAGCUUUUGUUUGUCGCUCAGCGAGUCAGACGAAGUUGCUGCAGGACAGACAUGCGAACGCUGUCACAUGGGGUUCAAAUACGCUACACGCACACACAACUCGAGCUCUGGAAUGUAUUGACGAGGGAGAAACUUUGGUUAUUGAAACAUUGCAAUAUUAAGGCCUGCAUCUCUGACCAGACCAAAUGGACUGUUUAGAGUUAAAACAAGGAACAAUGUUUGUAACUGUCUGCGUAUGCACAGCCUCAGGGCCAGAGGGAGAUAGUUCAUUUUUAAUAAUCAUUAGUGCAAAACAAAACCUCAACAUUCUAAAACUUCACACUAACUUUAAUCUGUGUGAUGAGCUCAUGUGUAAUUAUUGCAGCGUCACUAAAAAUCAAUUAAUUUAAUGAAAAAAUAUAUAUUUAAAACUGCUUCUAUUGUAAACUUAAAUGCAAAUAAAAUGGGCCCCAGGACAGAACUGUGGGGAACACCUGAAUAUACAGGUUUAGUGAGGAUGCAUAGGUUGCGGCCUGGCCUCAUAGAGCAUCAUGGGUGUCAUAGACAUGAAGUUGCUUUCAGGCAGUAACAGGCCAAUCAUGAAGAAGGAUUAAACAUAAGAUGAUUAGCCUUGAAAAUGCUCCCAACAAAUGGAACACACGAGCGCUGCGUUCCCCUUCCUAUGGGGCACGCCUGUGGCCACGAGAAGCUCUCGCAUAUGUAUGGGAAGAUUGUGCUUUAUCAUGUAAAAAGCCAAUUAACUGUGAGUUGUUAAUUACAUUUCUCGUGGUAUGCUGCGUGAAGCCUGCAAUCAUCUGUGAAGUCCCUGUCCUGUUGUAGUGGCUGAGGAUUAAAUCGUGCGCGGGGCCGAGCGAGGAGCAGAAAGACGCGUUCGGGAGCCAUCAGACAAACGGCAGGACUCCCUCUUGGCUCUUUAUCCUCGCCGUUCCCACAAUCCCCACCACCUCCUGCCCGUCCUUCCUCCCGCAACAACCACAGAGUGAAACUUGAACCCUGGUAUUACACCCACUUCACCCCCCCCCAUCCCCCAACCUCUGACAGUGAGAGUGUUGGAGUACGUGGGGAGCAGACACCAUCCCAGCCUUCUGUCAAACCACUGCCUCCUUUAUUGCCAUCUAAUGCGUUCGGAUGACUCAAACUAUGGUUUAGGGUCACUCAGCCUCACUGGUCACUGAGGAUGAGCUCACAGGAAGGAGCGCUCAAUAUAAUUGGCCACUAUGCGACUGGAUGUGGGUUAAAAUAAAUGAGAGCAAUGUUCAGUGGUUUCUCUACUUUACACUCUUUAAUGCCACACACAGCUUUACACCAAAUAGAAAGUGUUUCCAGGCAAUAAAAAACUUUUUAAAUCUGACCUAAAUAAGGAUCCUUCCUGAUUAAGAUCCUGUCCUCUACGUCUGAUUAGGUGUCAUUGUAUGCUGAUAUGAUUCCCUGCAUAGCUGUAGCAGGAACACUGAAGUGCAACCACCUGCACUUAAAGCAGAGCCUCUGUCUGCUCAACUAAAACAUUCACUAUUUCACUACUAUUUUCAAAUUUUCUUUUUUUAAAUUAGUGAACAUUUGAACUUUUUUAUUUAUUUAAAAUCUUAAACUCAAUCAAAGUAUUUUUAAGUCAGUUAGAGAACAAGUUUCUCUAAUCCUUGAAAUAAAUAUUCUCUUGUCCCAAAGGGCUGUAGCAAAUUGUUUUUGAUGUGAUGUGACAUAAUAAUAUUGUGAUAUAAUUAAAUGUAUUAAAUAUAUUGAACAAUACAUUAGAUACAGUAGAUAUGGAGGUUAUGCAGGUGUCUGUGGAUUUAUUAAGUGCACCUUGAUGAACUAAAUAGCAGGAUGCCCAGAACCAGACUCCGCUCGGCCCAAAUCAGGACGCCUCCUGCUUUGUUCUUUACAUCUGAGAUGAUGUUUUCCUGUUGGCACACAACACAUGUGACUGUGUGUACUUCCCAAACAAUCUGAGCUCAGUUUGUGUCAACAAACAUUCACCUGCAGUAGUAAUGUCGUGGGGCAUCAAGGUGAUCUUUAGACCUGCACUGUUUGUUUUUAUGGUGAGUGGCAGCUUCCGCCAUUUUUUCCCGUCAUUGACACCUCGCUCCAUAUGGUGUCCACCACGGUUUGGGUCUGGACCGACUAACAACAAUACGUCCUGCGCUUUCACUGAGUCCUUUGAAGCCAUAAGCUGCUGCUUUUGGCUCAUUUUCUACAUCUCACUGAGCCUUGUGUUCUUGAAAUCUUAACUGAAAACCUACGUCUGGGAAAAAUGACCUCUUUGGACACAUCAGCAGACAUUUAAAUCUCAGAUUCAAGAAUCACCUACAAGGAAAGAAGAUGGAGCACGUGAGGCGGCCAAACAUCUGCCCGGUCAGACACUCCCUGAAAACGUGUGCCUCAAACGUCUGCCGCUCUCUUUGUCUUUGAUCAACAGAUACUCACUGCUGCACCUGGUGACCCUUCCUGUGAAUCCUGUGACAUAAACAGACACGGAGAUAUUCAGUUGCUCAGGCCUGAGGCCUGAAGAGCUGCUGCUCCAGACCCCCUCCACCACCACAUGCAACAAACGCCCCACGACUGAAACACGUGUCAGCUGCACAAACAAUUACGACCUAUGAAGCUCAUUUUGUUUAUAUUGUUCUUUACUUUUACUUUUGAAUAAUAUUUAUGUGGGAUCUCUCGGUAAUGCUACGGUGACCAUCACUAAGGCCAGAGUGAAGCCCAGAGGUGAAUGUAGGCAACACAUGUGUCCACUACAUGUAGACUAGGACGUUGUGAGAAUGGCCAUUAAUCAGCAUCUGCAUCAUUUUCUAUUUGCUGACAAGCCGAUCGAAGACCUAAGGAAACCUAGCAGUUAUUAUUAUGUUGGACACAGAAGUUCUUUAGUUUGUCUCCUCCGUCUUCUGAAUGGCUCUGCUGUGAUGGGUGUGAGUGAUGCAGCAGAAAAUGGGCCAGGACAAAGCCGGUUAACCAGCGGAGAGAGUGAGGGGGGGCUUGGGGGGAUGCUGAUAGCAGGGUCGUGGGAUCAGAGCAGGUCAUGGAGGUGUGGGAGUGUCUGCUCAGCCCUGACCUUUGUCACUGAGGCUUCCUAUAAUCCCGUCGUCAAAGCCCAUACGGACAUAAUGAAGGGCCUAUGAAUAGAGUUAAAUGGUGACCAUUAGGCGGAUCUGUGUUGCUAUUCUUCUUGUUUGUUUAGUCCCGGUCAGUCUCACAUUUUCAGUGUAAUCAAGCAUGUGAUGGAGGGACGCCUGGAGAAGCCCAGGGUGUUUACUGGGCAUGGAUAUCCACCAGUGACAUAACACGAGAGACGAGGGCGAUGGUAAUGGGAUGUCCACUUCACAUUAGUCACAUAUUG